UACGGGGGGGGGCAAGCGUUGUUCGGAAUUACUGGGGCGUAAAGGGCGCGUAGGCGGCCUACUAAGUCGGACGUGAAAUCCCUCGGCUCAACCGAGGAACUGCGUCCGAUACUGGCAGGCUGGAAUCCGGGAGAGGGAUGUGGAAUUCCAGGUGUAGCGGUGAAAUGCGUAGAUAUCUGGAGGAACACCUGCGGCGAAGGCGGGUUGCUGGGCUGAUACUGACGCUGAGGCGCGGAAAGCCCAGGGGAGCGAACGGG
rnacentral:rRNA from 1 species